CUACGGGGGGCUGCAGUGAGGAAUAUUGCGCAAUGGGGGGAACCCUGAUGCAGCAACGCCGCGUGGGGGAUGACGCAUUUCGGUGUGUAAACUCCUUUUAUAUGUCAAGAAAAUGACGGUAGCAUAUGAAUAAGCACCGGCUAACUCCGUGCCAGCAGCCGCGGUAAUACGGAGGGUGCAAGCGUUACUCGGAGUCACUGGGCGUAAAGGACGCGUAGGCGGGUUGGAAAGUCAGGUGUGAAAUCCUACAGCUUAACUGUAGAACUGCACUUGAAACUUCUAAUCUAGAGUAUGGGAGGGGGAGAUGGAAUUAGUGGUGUAGGGGUAAAAUCCGUAGAUAUCACUAGGAAUACCUAAAGCGAAGGCGAUCUCCUGGAACAUUACUGACGCUAAGGCGUGAAAGCGUGGGGAGCAAACAGGAUUAGAUACCCCGGUAGUC
rnacentral:rRNA from 1 species